AUGGCACAUUUAACAAAAAGACGACAGGUGGAUACAAAAGCUAUCCAGCAUCUUUGGGCAGCCAUUGAGAUUAUACGGAACCAGAAACAAAUUGCCAACAUUGACCGUAUUACAAAGUAUAUGUCUCGAGUCCAUGGCAUGCAUCCAAAAGAGACCACCCGUCAGCUUAGCUUAGCUGUGAAAGAUGGUCUUAUUGUUGAGACUCUGACAGUGGGCUGCAAGGGCUCAAAGGCUGAUAUUGAACAAGAAGGAUAUUGGUUGCCAGGAGAUGAGAUUGACUGGGAACCAGAAAAUCAUGACUGGUAUUGUUUUGAAUGCCAUUUGCCUGGAGAGGUGUUGAUAUGUGACCUGUGUUUUUGUGUGUAUCAUUCCAAGUGUUUGUCUGAUGAGUUCAGGCUUAGAGACAGCAGUAGUCCCUGGCAGUGCCCAGUGUGCAGGAGCAUCAAAAAGAAUACAAACAAACAGGAGAUGGGCACAUACUUGAGAUUAAUCGUCUCCCGCAUGAAGGAGAGGGCUAUCGAUCUGAAUAAAAAGGGGAAGGACAACAAGCACCCCAUGUACCGGAGGCUGGUACACUCAGCUGUUGAUGUUCACACCAUACAAGAGAAGGUGAACAAAGGGAAGUACCGGAGCUAUGAGGAGUUCAAGGCCGACGCGCAGCUGCUGCUCCACAACGCCAUGAUUUUCUACGGAGCACACAGUGAGCAAGCUGACAUUGCGAGGAUGCUUUACAAAGACACAUGCCACGAGCUGGAUGAACUACAGCUUUGUAAAAAUUACUUCUAUUUGUCAAAUGCCCGUCCUGACAAUUGGUUCUGCUAUCCUUGUAUACCCAAUCAUGAGCUGGUCUGGGCUAAAAUGAAAGGUUUUGGGUUCUGGCCAGCCAAAGUCAUGCAGAAAGAGGACAAUCAAGUUGACGUCCGCUUCUUUGGCCACCACCAUCAGAGGGCCUGGAUUCCUUCUGAAAACAUUCAAGAUAUCACCGUCAACAUUCAUCAGCUACAUGUUAAGUGCAGUAUGGGCUGGAAAAAGGCCUGGAACUGGAACUCCAUCAGCGUUUCCUUCGUGAAGGAAGAUUUUGGAAGUCAAAGAAUGAGGACCGAGGUGAGGAGGAAGCAGAAUCCAGCAUCUCCUCUACGAGUAAUGAGCAGCUAAAAGUCACUCAAGAACCGAGAGCAAAGAAAGGAUGACGUAAUCAAAGUGUGGAGCCCAAAAAGGAAGAACCAGAGCCAGAAACUGAAGCAGUGAGUUCCAGCCAGGAAAUUCCCAUAAUGCCUCAGCCAAUCGAGAAGGUCUCAGUGUCCACUCAGACCUGGAAGCUAAGUGCCUCUUCCCCAUGGAUGCUGCACCGUAGCACCCAGACUGCGAGCGACGGCGCGCAAUGACUUCAAAGACCGGAUGAAAUCUGACCACAAGCGGGAGACGGAGCGCGUUGUAUGAGAAGCUCUAGAAAAGCUGCGUUUUGAAAUGGAAGAAGAAAAAAGACAAGCUGUAAAUAAAGCUGUAGCCAACAUGCAGGGUUAGAUGGACAGGAAAUGUAAGCAAGUAAAGGAAAAGUGUAAAGAAGAAUUUGUAGAAGAAAUCAAGAAGCUGGCGACGCAGCACAAACAGCUAAUUUCUCAGACCAAGAAGAAGCAGUGGGUAAAUAUUGGUGUUUCUUUAGAACUUUGUUUCUGAGAUGGCAUCAUAGGUGUGAUGGAAAUCAGUUCAUAAGAAACAGGUGGCAUAUGCAAAAAUUAUUCCUGAAAUAAGAUCAACUGUGAGGUUGUCAACUUUAAUUUUAAAAAUUUUAUUAAAAGCUCUAAAAUGGGCCAGUUGUGAUGGCUUACACCUAUAAUCCCAGCACUC